UGGCAACAAAGUCACCUAGCAGGGGUCUGUGCUCAUGGAGAAGCUGGUAACGGUGUCACAUGACACAUGGGCAGAAGGCUUUUAAAGGGCAGAAGCUGGUCUGCUCAGGAGCCAUUGUCCUCUAGUCCAUGAGAGAGAAACAACCCAGCAUGUAAUGGCUCAUGAGGCACUGGACUCCCUGCCUGCCUUUCUAGACCCAGGGAAAGCAUUAUCAGGAAGGAGUUUUUUGUGAACUUUGGAUUCCAACCCCUCUACUUCUUCCACUACGAGCCCGAGAAACCAAUUAUUUUUCAUCAUAUAUGGACCAUAAAUCCCAUGGUAUCUCUGAGAAAAGGGCCUGGACCCAAACGCCAAGAUCUGAACAUUUUGAAGAGGUGGUCCUUCUGGGUGAGCUGUCUGACCUUGGUGAGGCAGUGGUGUGGAACUCCCUUUGCCAACUGCCCACGCUGUACCUGUUCUGUCAACUUCUGUUUCCAAGGCCCUCAAUCAAACUGUUGUCACAAGGACUAAAGUCACUGAAUUUUUCUAUAUAAUGAGCAUAGCCCAGACCUCUGUGAACCUCCUGUCUGCUGAGGAAAUAAAGGGCCCUUUCAAUGGAGCCAAUAGUUCAGAAGUUCUGCUCAAUCAACAUUUUUCACCCCUCUCAAAAACUUGAUCCUGAACUUACUAUUGACUUCAAUAUGACCAACACUGGGCCCAUUUUUUAUGCUGGUGAAAAGCUUAAUUGGGCUUUUUACUGUACUUUUGGAUUCCACUGCCUCUCCUGUGACUCCAGCCAUGCUGAUGUGGGGUGAUAUUGAAAUGGUCAGAGCAUGAUCUAUAUAGCCAGUUCUCCUCCUUCAUGGUAGAGGACAAGGUAAGAAUAACAAAGGCAGUGAUAUGCAUAUUGAGACAAAGUGUAAAUGCCUAUAAGUUAAGCUUAGUGAUCUUAGUGACAAAUCCUGCAGGCCAAACUUCCAUUUAUGUCAAUGGGACUUUGGACUGAGUACGGACUGCAGAAUCUGGCCCCAGGUCAGAAUUUUUUUAUUACAUAUGUUUCACAGUUUCUUAGCUGAUUAGUCACUCUGUUUCUUUUCCUAGAGAUGCCCAUGUUCCUCCUUACUCUUCACUGUACAUUAGUUCUGAUAACAAUAGGAUAUUU